CAACAGGAGAAGCUAUGGAGUUUUAGAAGGCUAAGAUUCAGCUCAGUUGUGACUCUUACAAAGGCAGAUGUAAGAGCACUAUGGAAGAUGGAAAUGUUCACAGUGGAACACAUACUGGGGAAACACAUUUGCAGAACCAUCUGUUAUACUUGCUAAAACCACUUCUAUGAUGCUGGCAGAGAGAUUUGGCCAGAGAGUCCUGCCACUCUGCUCUCUGUAGGGACAGACCCACGUUCAAGUUGGAGGUUUAGAAACUUGCCCAGGGUCACAUAGGUAGCCAAGUGGCAGAAUGCUUAGAAGCUGUUGGGUUCAAUUGGGCUUUGAAACGUCAGGAAGAAAAGAGGCUUUGGUUCCUUUUAAAAAGAGGCAUUAGAGGGGGCUGGCCCCGUGGCCGAGUGGUUAAGUUCGCGUGCUCCGCUGCAGGCGGCCCAGUGUUUCGUUAGUUCGAAUCCUGGGCGCGGACAUGGCACUGCUCAUCAGACCACGCUGAGGCAGUGUCCCACAUGCCACAACUAGAAGAACCCACAACGAAGAAUACACAACUAUGUACGGGGGGGCUGUGGGGAGAAAAAGGGA
rnacentral:lncRNA from 1 species